rnacentral:rRNA from 1 species
UCACAGAGCAGUUAAAGCUUCGGUGGUAAAAGAUGGGCAUGCGUAACAUUAGCUAGUUGGUGAGGUAACGGCUCACCAAGGCUACGAUUUUUAGGGGACCUGAGAGGGUGAUCCCCCACACUGGUACUGAGACACGGACCAGACUCCUACGGGAGGCAGCAGUGAGGAAUAUUGGUCAAUGGAGGGAAGUCUGAACCAGCCAUCCCGCGUGCAGGAAGACGGCCCUAUGGGUUGUAAACUGCUUUUCUGAAGGAAGAAUAAUUACGAUGUAUCGUGAGACGACGGUACUUCAGGAAUAAGCAUCGGCUAACUCCGUCCAGCAGCCGCGGUAAUACGGAGGAUGCAAGCGUUAUCCGGAUUUAUUGGGUUUAAAGGGUGCGUAGGCGGAUCAGUAAGUCAGUGGUGAAAUCUCUCGGCUCAACCGGGAAACUGCCAUUGAUACUGUUGAUCUUGAGUUCGGUAGAGGUAGGCGGAAUGUGUAAUGUAGCGGUGAAAUGCUUAGAUAUUACACAGAACACCAAUUGCGUAGGCAGCUUACUAUGCCGACACUGACGCUGAGGCACGAAAGCGUGGGGAGCGAACAGGAUUAGAUACCCUGGUAGUCCACGCCGUAAACUAUGAUUACUCGUCGUUGGCGAUACACAGUCAGCGACCAAGCGAAAGCGAUAAGUAGUCCACCUGGGGAGUACGCUCGCAGGAGUGAAACUCAAAGGAAUUGACGGGGGCCCGCACAAGCGGUGGAACAUGUGGUUUAAUUCGAUGAUACGCGAGGAACCUUACCUGGGCUUAAAUGUAGAGUGCAUAGAGUGGAAACAUUCUUUUCCUUCGGGACUUUCUACAAGGUGCUGCAUGGUUGUCGUCAGCUCGUGCCGUGAGGUGUCGGGUUAAGUCCCAUAACGAGCGCAACCCUUAUCAUUAGUUGCCAUCGGGUAAUGCCGGGGACUCUAGUGAAACUGCCACCGUAAGGUGAGAGGAAGGUGGGGAUGACGUCAAAUCAGCACGGCCCUUAUGUCCAGGGCUACACACGUGUUACAAUGGUCGGUACAGAGGGCAGCUACCUGGUGACAGGAUGCAAAUCUCUAAAGCCGGUCCAAGUUCGGAUCGAAGUCUGCAACUCGACUUCGUGAAGCUGGAAUCGCUAGUAAUCGUAUAUCAGCAAUGAUACGGUGAAUACGUUCCCGGGCCUUGUACACACCGCCCGUCAAGCCAUGGAAGCUGGGGGUGCCUGAAGUUCGUAACCGCAAGGAGCGACCUAGGGUAAAACUAGUGACUGGGGCUAAGUCGUAACAAGGUA